rnacentral:tRNA from 1 species
UCGUCGUCGGCGUGGUGGUGGGGCUGGUCGUGAGCUGGCCGGCCGGUGUCGUGGUCGGCGCGGUGCUCGGCGCGCCGACGGCGAUC